GACGAACGCUGGCGGCGUGCUUAACACAUGCAAGUCGAACGGAAAGGCCCUGCUUUUGUGGGGUGCUCGAGUGGCGAACGGGUGAGUAACACGUGAGUAACCUGCCCUUGACUUUGGGAUAACUUCAGGAAACUGGGGCUAUUACCGGAUAGGAGCUCCUGCUGCAUGGUGGGGGUUGGAAAGUUUCGGCGGUUGGGGAUGGACUCGCGGCUUAUCAGCUUGUUGGUGGGGUAGUGGCUUACCAAGCCUUUGACGGGUAGCCGGCCUGAGAGGGUGACCGGCCACAUGGGGACUGAGAUACGGCCCAGACUCCUACGGGAGGCAGCAGUGGGGAAUAUUGCACAAUGGGCGGAAGCCUGAUGCAGCGACGCCGCGUGCGGGAUGACGGCCUUCGGGUUGUAAACCGCUUUCGCCUGUGACGAGGCGUGAGUGACGGUAAUGGGUAAAGAAGCACCGGCUAACUACGUG
rnacentral:rRNA from 1 species